AAAAGAAAAGGAAACAGGCAUGGGGAACUGAAUUAGGACAAGCACAAGAAAAAUCCUUCAAAAAAAAGGACAAGCACAAGAAACGGAGAGUAAGAAGCAGAGAGGGGUUGGAUCCAAGAAGAGGGUGGGGAGGCUACAUGGAGGCGGCGAUGGAUCUGAUGCGGCGGAUGCCGCCGGGGAGCACCGAGACGGCGCUCAACGCGCUGCUCUCCCUCCUCCCCGACCACUCCCUCGACCUCCUCUCCCAGGUCGACCUCCGGCUCCAGGUUUGCAUGGAUAAGGAGAACAAUAAGGAAUACAUUCUUUGCGAGUAUAACCGCGACACCGAUUCCUAUCGAUCACCUUGGUCAAACAUAUAUGAGCCUCCUUUAGAAGAUGGGACAGUUCCCUCAGAAGAGAUGAGGAAUCUUGAAGUCGAGGCAAAUGAGGUUUUCUCUGUCUAUCGUGAUCAGUACUAUGAAGGUGGGAUCUCAUCUGUGUACAUUUGGGAGGAUGAAGACGAGAGUUUCAUUGCAUGCUUCUUAAUAAAGAAAGAUGGACAAGGGAAAAGAAGUUAUAUGCAAAUAGGUUCGUGGGAUGCUAUUCAUGUUAUCCAGGUUGGUCCUGAAGAGGAAGGAGCAGCACAUUACUGCUUGAACAGCACUGUUAUGCUGUCAUUGACAACAGAUAACAAGCAAUCGGGAACUUUCAACUUGUCCGGAUCAAUUAGGCGGCAGGUUAUCCAUUCCUUCCUCUUCAUAUCAACGGAAGAUGAGCAUGACUCUCGCUGUGGCAGAUGGGCAUCUGGUUAACAUGGGGAAAAUGAUAGAAGAGAUGGAGGGCAAGCUGAGAAAUUCACUGGACCAGGUCUAUUUUGGGAAAACCAGGGAAAUGGUUUGCACUCUUAGGCCACCGCCUGAAGUACUUAACAUGAGACUACCCGACAGCUGAUCAGAUAAAUUGAUAGCAAUGCCAAUUUAACAUGGCGUUUUAUCUCUAGUGUCAUAUCACUUUCCGCAUCUGUAUCUGUAUUUAAUCACAACAGAGUUUUCUUGUCCUUUGACGUGUGAUGACGAACUGGGUAUUGCAAUCGAUGCCGGCUGCGAAAUAUAUAUCCUAGUAAAAUCCUGUCAGUUCUACA